GAGACAGGAGCCCAGCACUGAGAUUUCCAGGUGUUUCUGUUCGGUGAUCAGCACUGAACACAGAGGACUCGCCAUGGAGUUUGGGCUGAGCUGGGUUUUCCUUGUUGCUAUUUUAAAAGGUGUCCGGUGUGAGGUGCAGCUGGUGGAGUCUGGGGGAGGCGUGGUACAGCCUGAGGGGUCCCUGAGACUCUCCUGUGCAGCCUCUGGAUUCACCUUUGAUGAUUAUGCCAUGCACUGGGUCCGCCAAGCUCCAGGGAAGGGUCUGGAGUGGGUCUCUGCUAUUAGCUGGAGUGGUAGUAGCACAUACUAUGCAGACUCUGUGAAGGGCCGAUUCACCAUCUCCAGAGACAACGCCAAGAACUCACUGUUUCUGCAAAUGAACAGCCUGAAAACCGAGGACACGGCCAUGUAUUACUGUGCAAAAGAUACACAGUGCGGGGAAGUCAGAAGAGCAGAUAAUUACCUGAGGCUGACUCUGAGGUGGGAUCUGUCCUGUGCACCUCAGAGCCUGCAGAGACCCCCGGUUGCAGAUUCAUGGAGUCAGGUGUUUGUGCGUGUGGGAACCUCGAGCUGUGCUGAACUCAGUGAACUCAGUGAACACAGCCGAGAACUAACUGACAAAGAUGAGAACCUCCAUGCUGUGAGGAUGGAGGACAGGCAGGGCAGUGUGAGGACAAAAGGGGCUGUGGUUACGUCCAGGGUGUUGUGUCCCAGCAACGCCUCCAGCUCCUUCCCCACUCUGGUAUUUGUCAGAUGGGAAACAUACCUCCAAUUUAUCUUUGACAUCUUGAUGGAAGUCCAGGCAAGAGGCAUCUGA